GCAGCUGCUGGAGAAGGAGGAGGAGAUCUCUGAGCUGAAGGCGGAGCGGAACAACACCAGGCUGCUGCUGGAGCAUCUGGAGUGCCUUGUGUCCCGACACGAGCGGUCACUCCGCAUGACGGUGGUCAAGCGGCAGGCUCAGUCUCCCUCGGGGGUCUCCAGCGAGGUCGAGGUCCUCAAAGCGCUCAAGUCCUUGUUCGAACACCAUAAAGCCCUAGAUGAGAAGGUACGAGAGAGACUACGGGUGUCACUGGAGAGGGUUUCCGCCUUGGAGGAGGAGCUCACAGCAGCCAAUCAGGAGAUUGUGGCCUUACGGGAACAAAAUGCUCAUAUUCAGAGAAAAGUGGCUUCCGGGGACGGAGAGGACAUCCUGGACGGCAGUGAGGCUCAACAGAAGCUCCAUGGCAAGCGUCUGUCCAACGGCUCUCUGGAAUCGGCGCACGAUGCGAGCCAAGUGGUGGAGCUGCAGGACCUACUGGAGAAGCAGAACUACGAGCUGGCCCAGAUGAAAGAGCGCAUGUCCUCCCUCUCCUCCCGCGUCUCCGAGGUGGAGCAGGAGCUGGAGACCGCCCGGAAAGACCUCAUCAAGUCCGAGGAGAUGAACAACAAGUACCAGAGGGACAUCAAAGAGGCCAUGUGUCAGAAAGAGGACAUGGAGGAGCGCAUUGUGACUUUGGAAAAACGCUACCUGAGCGCCCAACGGGAGUCCACCUCUGUGCACGACAUCAACGACAAACUGGAGAACGAGUUGGCCAAUAAGGAGGCGUUCCUCAGACAGAUGGAAGAAAAGAACAGGCAGCUACAGGAGAGGCUGGAGCUCGCAGAGCAGAAGCUCCAGCAGACCAUGAGGAAGGCUGAGACGCUGCCGGAGGUGGAGGCUGAACUGGCACAAAGGAUAGCAGCCCUCACUAAGGCGGAAGAGCGUCACGGGAGCAUUGAGGAGCGAAUGAGGCACUUGGAGUGCCAGCUGGAGGAGAAGAACCAGGAGCUGCUGCGGGCACGACAGAGAGAAAAGAUGAAUGAAGAGCACAACAAGCGCCUGUCGGACACGGUGGACCGGCUCCUCACAGAGUCCAACGAGCGCCUUCAGCUCCACCUGAAGGAGAGGAUGGCAGCGCUCGAGGAGAAGAAUUUGUUAAUCCAAGACUCUGAAGGGUACAGAAAACAGUACGAAGAUUCAAUCCAUGAAAAAACACAUCUGGCAGAGGAGAUUGAUAAACUGAGAUCAGAGCUGGACCAGUUCAGAUUGAGGGCAGGAUCCCUCACAGAACCCACCCUGUCACGGUCUCAUCUGGACACAUCAGCUGAGCUCCGAUUCUCGUUGGGAUCUCUGGCUGAAACCCAGUCGGACCACUACCGCUCUGCCAAGGUCAUCCGGCGGCCGAGGAGAGGUCGAGUGGGUCUGCAUGAAACCAAGGCUAAAUCGCUGGGUGAGCACGAGUGGCGCUCGCAGCAGCUCGGGGUUUUGGGCCAUCACUUCGAGAGCGACACGGAGAUGUCGGACAUCGAUGACGACGACAGGGAAACGAUGUUCAGCUCCAUGGACCUACUCUCACCGGGCGGACACUCGGAUGCACAAACUCUGGCCAUGAUGCUGCAGGAGCAGCUGGACGCUAUCAACAAGGAGAUCCGGCUGAUCCAGGAGGAGAAGGAGUCGACGGAGCUGCGGGCGGAGGAGAUUGAAAACCGGGUGGCGAGUGUCAGCCUGGAGGGCCUAAACCUGGCUCGAAUGCACCACCACGGAGCCUCCAUCACUGCCUCAGCCACCGCCUCCUCCCUCGCCUCCUCCUCCCCGCCGAGCGGACACUCCACCCCCAAGCUUGAUCCUCGAAGCCCCGCUCGGGACAUGGAGCGCAUGGGGGUCAUGACACUGCCCAGUGACCUGAGGAAGCACAGGAGAAAGAUAGCAGCGGUGGACGAGGACGGCCGCGAGGACAAGGCCACCAUCAAGUGCGAGACAUCCCCCCCUGCCACGCCACGCACCGUCCGAAUGACACACACACUGCCAGCCUCCUCGCACAACGACUCACGAGGGAUUGUGUCCUCUCUGGAGGCGGAGGGCGGCACCCUGAGCAGCGUAGGCAGCAGCCAAGACUCCCUGCACAAGCAGCCAAAGAAGAAGGGCAUCAAAUCCUCCAUCGGACGGCUCUUUGGCAAGAAAGAGAAGGGCAGGAUGGGACAUAUGGCACACAGACAUGUCAUGUUAGAUCCACAAGCCACCAUGAUGGACCCAGACUCAGCGGGCCAGGACAUGGGCAUGGGGAAGCUGGGCACUCAGGCUGAGAAAGACCGCAGGUUAAAAAAGAAACACGAGCUAUUGGAGGAGGCCAGGAGAAAGGGUUUACCUUUCGCCCAAUGGGACGGUCCCACAGUUGUAGCCUGGCUGGAGCUGUGGUUGGGAAUGCCGGCCUGGUAUGUGGCAGCGUGUCGUGCCAACGUGAAGAGUGGAGCCAUCAUGUCGGCGCUGUCUGACACCGAGAUCCAGAGGGAGAUCGGUAUCAGUAAUCCGCUGCACCGCCUCAAGCUUCGCCUGGCCAUCCAGGAAAUGGUCUCCCUCACCAGCCCCUCGGCACCGCCCACCUCCAGAACCGCGUCAGGCAAUGUGUGGGUCACCCAUGAGGAGAUGGAGACCAUGGCCGCCCCUUCCAAAACGAAGUCAAGCUCCGAAGAGGGGAGCUGGGCACAGACUCUAGCCUAUGGUGACAUGAACCAUGAGUGGAUAGGGAACGAGUGGCUGCCCAGUCUAGGACUACCUCAGUACCGCAGCUACUUCAUGGAGUGCCUGGUGGACGCCCGCAUGCUGGACCACCUCACCAAGAAGGACCUGAGGGUGCACCUUAAAAUGGUGGACAGCUUCCACAGAACAAGUUUACAGUAUGGAAUCAUGGGUCUCAAAAAGCUCAACUAUGAUAGGAAGGAACUUGAGAGACGCAGGGAGCACAGCCAGCACGAAAUGAGAGACGUGCUGGUUUGGAGUAAUGAGCGGGUGAUCCGCUGGGUGCAGAGCAUCGGCCUGAGGGACUACGCCAACAUCCUGCUGGAGAGCGGAGUGCACGGAGCUCUGGUCGCCUUGGACGACAACUUCGACUACAGCAGUCUGGCUUUGCUCCUCCAGAUCCCCAACCAAAACACUCAGGCACGUCAGAUUCUGGAGCGAGAGUACAAUAAUAUGCUGGCGCUGGGCACCGACAGGAGACUGGAUGAGUGUGACGACAAAGACUUCCGGGGUCCGUCGUGGAGGAGGCAGUUCCCGCCCCGGGACGUGCAUGGUAUAAGUAUGAUGCCCGGCUCGGCGGAGACGCUCCCUGCUGGAUUCCGUCUCACCGCCUCGGCUGGCCACUCCCGGAGAUUACCCCCCGAGGAGGCAGCUACAGAUCAAACGGUUGUCUCCAGCUGUUGCUCCACACCUGAAGACAGGAGUUGUGACUGUGUCUCUUGUCUCUCCGACUCUGUACGGCUGCUCUGCAGUCCUGUAUGAGGCGCUGGAUGACAGCCCUGACGACAUGUAUUUGGAUUGGUUUCAAGUGGGAUCCGCCACGGUGCAGCGGAUGGACAGCUCCACGGUACAGUUCUGAACGGAGAUGAACUAGUGGAGCUGUUGGACAGGCCAACCUGCCGAGGAACAAACUUUCUGACGACACGCACUGCCAAGAAGCCCUGCUCCCCUCUCUGCCCCCCCCCUCCCCAUCCUCUCCUCCUCCCUAUAAUGUGGGCACCAGAUGCCGGUGCUAAACUGUCCCGCAGGCUGCUCCGUUGUCACCGUUUCUACCUUUUACAUGUACAGUAACUUGUUGAAGCAUAACGUACUGUGUAUUUCUUCUACAGGAAAUGUGUAGGUUAUCUGUAAAUAAAUAUGCCAUUUUUUAAUAUAUACACACAUCUAUGUAUAAAAAAGAUAUUCAGAGUUUGUGCAAAAAAACGUCCCUGCCACCUCAUUUAGUGGACCAUAGAUAAAUAUAUGCUGCUCUUUUAAAUGUGUUCAUAUUACCCCGCCCUCUAUAGAUCAUUUUGUACAUAUGGUUUUAUUUUUUCAUUGUGCUGCUGCUGAUGAUGAACCUGUGGUGCACAUUGAGAGAGGACGGAUGUGAAAAGCCUGCCCUCUACUGGUGCACAAAAACCACUCUGAGCCCCAUUUCUGACACCAACAAACUCCAUUCUCCUUUUUAUGAACUCGCCGGCAUAAAAAGGAGCAUUUUAAGAGGACAUGACAAGCACUUUGAUACAACCGCAUCAACUCAACGGACUUUUAGUAGCCAAGGACAAAACAAGAGCUCCGAAGUUGCACAAAACUUCCUCUCAGAGAACAAAAGAAAAAAAGCAGGAGGUCAUUCAUAGAACCUGUCACUUGUUGUACUGUAUGUUUUGUCAGGCGAUACAUUAACACACUCUGGCCUUCUCCCCUCCCCCCCAGACAUUACGUUAACAUAGGAAAUAACUGAAAGACAGACUGCUUUAGCUCAUAGUGUGCGUAGAGUGUAUAUGACCAUGUUGAAGUGAGGUGACAUUUAAUGACUGUUGCUUGCUGUGACUUACAUCGGUGUAACUGUUAACUCUUUGUUUCUGUCGGAGUUUUCAGGGCAACCUAUUGUACGGCCCUGUUAUCUGUCUUUUAGUUAUCUCUGAUGGACCACUCGAAUCGGAAAAGUCUCACGCUCUUGAUUUGUUUUUACAUCUUCAAUUUGCACGAACGAUGAAUCAUUUUAUUUUGUGUCUAUUUUUUUUUUAUUUAUUACUUCUUGUACUUUGUCAAAACUAAGUGGUGAGCAAGCAAAUUUUCAUUGUCAAUAAAAGAGAAAAACUACUGUCA